AAAUAACAAGGCUGCUUAUUUCCAACCAUUCCUGCUUUAAAUGUUUAUAAUCAAUACUGUUGGGAUUGCCUAAACAAGGAUUGUCCAACUACUGCGGGAUGUUCUUAGUGAUGGUAACAUCUGCCUCCAACAGUAUGCACUGUACUUUGUAAUGGGAGCAUCAUUUGAAUUCAGUGAGGAUGAUAUGAUAACAAUAUGCAGAUGGUGGUGUCUCUCUCUCCUGAAAACCUUCUCUGUGAGGUCCAUAGAAGAAGUAUAACAGGAGAAAAAG